GUUAAAUGCAUCCUGAAAACUCCAGGGAAGCCAGGCACUGUAAAGGACUGCAGAUCUCACCAGAUAAAGCGGCUGUGUAACACUUCCCUCAGGCUGUUCUUUAACACGCCUGUCCUUGCUGAUGUCAUCUUCAAAAUACAAGCACAGGGACAUGUCUGAGGGCUCUGCUGAGCAUCAGACCUUGGAGAGGCAUGGACUCUGGUGGCCACGUCUACACUCACCCUGAGCGAAAAGACCAAAGAUGCUGGUUAUUGACUCCUUACCACCUUACCUCUGCCCAUCUCAGGUAUCGGGAUGUGCCUUUCUCUGCCUUCUAGAAACUGACUGGGACUUGUGUCACAGAAUCCCAGAAUCCCAGGCUGGCAGAGGUUGGCAGGGAGACCACACAGCCUCUGGAGACCAUCCAGUCCAACUCCCUGCCAGAGCAGGGUCACCCAGAGCAGGUUGGACCAGAACAUUUUGAGUAUCUCCAGAGAUGGAGACUCCACACCCUCUCUGGGCAGCCUGUUCCAGGGCUCUGCCACCCUCAAAGGAAAGGUGUUUUUCAUCGUGUUCAGAUGGAAUUUUCCAUGUUCCACAUCCUGUUCUGGGCAUCACCGAGAAGAUUCUGGCCCCAUCCUCUUAACACCUGCCCUUUAGCUAUUGCUCAGCAUCAAUGAGAUCCCCUCUCAGUCUUCUCUUCU